rnacentral:rRNA from 1 species
AUUGAACGCUGGCGGCAGGCCUAACACAUGCAAGUCGAACGGUAACAGGAAGAAGCUUGCUUCUUUGCUGACGAGUGGCGGACGGGUGAGUAAUGUCUGGGAAACUGCCUGAUGGAGGGGGAUAACUACUGGAAACGGUAGCUAAUACCGCAUAACGUCGCAAGACCAAAGAGGGGGACCUUCGGGCCUCUUGCCAUCGGAUGUGCCCAGAUGGGAUUAGCUAGUAGGUGGGGUAACGGCUCACCUAGGCGACGAUCCCUAGCUGGUCUGAGAGGAUGACCAGCCACACUGGAACUGAGACACGGUCCAUACUCCUACGGGAGGCAGCAGUGGGGAAUAUUGCACAAUGGGCGCAAGCCUGAUGCAGCCAUGCCGCGUGUAUGAAGAAGGCCUUCGGGUUGUAAAGUACUUUCAGCGGGGAGGAAGGGAGUAAAGUUAAUACCUUUGCUCAUUGACGUUACCCGCAGAAGAAGCACCGGCUAACUCCGUG